CUUCACCGAUCCGAGGAGCAGGGGGCGUUCGGCGUCCCGGUCCUGCCCGUAGGCGGUGAGCAGGGCCUGUGCCUC
rnacentral:antisense_RNA from 1 species